rnacentral:rRNA from 1 species
GGCGGACGGGUGAGUAAUGCCUAGGAAUCUGCCUGGUAGUGGGGGAUAACGUCCGGAAACGGGCGCUAAUACCGCAUACGUCCUGAGGGAGAAAGUGGGGGAUCUUCGGACCUCACGCUAUCAGAUGAGCCUAGGUCGGAUUAGCUAGUUGGUGGGGUAAAGGCCUACCAAGGCGACGAUCCGUAACUGGUCUGAGAGGAUGAUCAGUCACACUGGAACUGAGACACGGUCCAGACUCCUACGGGAGGCAGCAGUGGGGAAUAUUGGACAAUGGGCGAAAGCCUGAUCCAGCCAUGCCGCGUGUGUGAAGAAGGUCUUCGGAUUGUAAAGCACUUUAAGUUGGGAGGAAGGGCAGUAAGUUAAUACCUUGCUGUUUUGACGUUACCAACAGAAUAAGCACCGGCUAACUUCGUGCCAGCAGCCGCGGUAAUACGAAGGGUGCAAGCGUUAAUCGGAAUUACUGGGCGUAAAGCGCGCGUAGGUGGUUCAGCAAGUUGGAUGUGAAAUCCCCGGGCUCAACCUGGGAACUGCAUCCAAAACUACUGAGCUAGAGUACGGUAGAGGGUGGUGGAAUUUCCUGUGUAGCGGUGAAAUGCGUAGAUAUAGGAAGGAACACCAGUGGCGAAGGCGACCACCUGGACUGAUACUGACACUGAGGUGCGAAAGCGUGGGGAGCAAACAGGAUUAGAUACCCUGGUAGUCCACGCCGUAAACGAUGUCGACUAGCCGUUGGGAUCCUUGAGAUCUUAGUGGCGCAGCUAACGCGAUAAGUCGACCGCCUGGGGAGUACGGCCGCAAGGUUAAAACUCAAAUGAAUUGACGGGGGCCCGCACAAGCGGUGGAGCAUGUGGUUUAAUUCGAUGCAACACGAAGAACCUUACCUACUCUUGACAUCCAAAGAACCAUAUAGAGAUAUAUGGGUGCCUUCGGGAACUUUGAGACAGGUGCUGCAUGGCUGUCGUCAGCUCGUGUUGUGAAAUGUUGGGUUAAGUCCCGCAACGAGCGCAACCCUUAUCCUUUGUUGCCAUCGAGUAAAGUCGGGAACUCAAAGGAGACUGCCGGUGAUAAACCGGAGGAAGGUGAGGAUGACGUCAAGUCAUCAUGGCCCUUAUGAGUAGGGCUACGAACGUGCUACAAUGGCGUAUACAAAGAGAAGCGAUCUUGCGAAAGUUAGCAAACCUCAUAAAGUACGUCUUAGUCCGGAUUGGAGUCUGCAACUCGACUCCAUGAAGUCGGAAUCGCUAGUGAUCGUGGAUCAGAAUGUCACGGUGAAUACGUUCCCGGGCCUUGUACACACCGCCCGUCACACCAUGGAA